UAAGGCUGUAAUACUCGAAAUGACCGGUCGGAUCGUUAUAGAUUACAUAAAUGCAAGUCAUGAAACAAUGAGUCUUAUGAGCCUCUUUGAGGAAAGCUGGUCAAAGAUACUGAUUCGAUCGAUCGUAAGUUUUUAAAAUAUCAUCUGAAUAUGCUCAUGCAUCCAUCUCAACACCACUUCUAAGCUGGCAUUGAUGUAUUCCUUAUUUCUCCAGAUAUAUAUGGACUGAUUGUUAAACAAAAAGAAAGAAAAAAUUAAUAAACAAGUAGAUCAUAUACCAUUGUAUCUAAUAUAGAUUAUAUCAAUUAAUUUAUAGGGAUAUCGAAGAUACAUUCUUUUAGAAGUAUAUACGAUCUUAUUCUUAUGACAUAAAAUUGGCACACGGUACAUAUAUAAUACUCCAUCCGAAGAACUACAUAUGUGCGUUAGUAUUUCUAGGGAGGAUAAAGGGGGAGGCAGGAAGAAAGAUAAGUUGUACUAUACCUGCACAUAUAGAUAUUAAAGUUACAAUUCAGUAAUCAAGUGUUUUUAAAGAAACGGUUAAUAAAAUAUAUGAAACUCAAAAGUUAUAAAUUCGAAAAUUCCUCCAAGGCAAAGGCUCAAGAUAUCUAUCUCUGUCUUAACACUAACUUUUAGAAUUUGAGACUUCUUUAGGUAACCAAGCAUAUAUUAUCCAAGAUAAUAAUCAUUCAAUAUGUGUAACCAAGCAUAAAUCAUUCACGAUUUCAUUCGUUUAUUCGAUGUUCUGCUAUGAAUGUCAAACCAGAAACAACAAUUCCUUUUCUCUUUCAUCUAGAUAUGAAGUUAGAAUUUGACAACAUCCUUUACUAUAAAAAAGAAACUCCUUGAUUCUACUGCAUGUAGCCACACACAACUAAAGACAUUGUAAAAUUAUACACAGUCGAACAUAGAACUAAUGUGCACGCGACAACUAAGAGCAGAAGCCAGAUAAACAUUUUAUUCUUAAAGAAUUGAAUCCCGAGCUGCAAGAAUAUUCUUCUUUCACGUAAUCAAUCCACAUAAACUUUCAUAAUUUAAAAUUAAAAUAAAAUAAAGAAGGAAUUUUCACUAUCCAAGAAUUGAAUUUCCUCAAUUUCUAAACUACCAAAAUAUUUUUGUUUGACGUAAGUGGAGCGACAUAAAAUUACAAAAGCAAAUGCUCAUUAAAAAUAUUUAAAAAAAAAUAUUUUUAACACAUACGGAGAUUUUUUGUCAAGAACAAAUCUUUUCUAACACUUUGAGCUGCUACAAAACAAUCGUGCUUCACAUAAGUGACCCAUCUAAAUAAUAAUAACAAAUAGCCACUAAAAAUAAUUUAAAAAAUUAUAACCGUAACAAUGAAAUGAACAAAGAGGAUAAAACAAUGGCAAACUCAUCGGCUACAAGGGCGUAGCUAACCGAGGGAAGGACACAAAUCUGUUUUCUUUUUGAAGAAUAAAUCUGCAGCUAUAAAAGAAAAGAUUGCAGUUAUGGGAGGAUGACAAUUGAAAAACCUUCACAUCAGCCGUGAAACUGGAACGAGAAUUAAACAGAUUAAGAGCGACAUUAGCUAUAAUUUUCAAUCGUGAAAUUCAGAAGUUUGAAGAGAACUAAAAAGAAUUAGGGAAAAAACGAAAUUGGAGGAAAAAUUGAGAAUAAAACUAACAUGAAAUAUGAAGAGAACUCACAAAAAGUACUUCAAAGUAGUCGAAAGAGUUGGGAAGAGCGGUGAUGUUUCUCUAUCCUUGAAAUGAAAGAAGCCGCAAGUAGGAAAGCAUUAUUAUGAAUAAGCAAAAUGUCAAUUUUUGCCCUUGGUUAAUCACACUUUCCUUUUCUAUAUAAUAA
rnacentral:lncRNA from 1 species